ACAAUGCCUGUGCUGCCCACUUAGAGGCUUGCGUGCCCUACCCUGGAGACACCAAAGCAAGGGGAAAGAGAAAACAAAUGGGGGAGAGAAGCUCUAUGCAUGUCUGUGACUAAGAAGCAAAAAUCACUCAUAAUCCCACAACCCCAAAAUAACAACUACCAACACUCUCUUCUUCAUUUUCCAAUAGUUUAUUCUAUGUAUAUAGUAGAUGUGUUUAGAAUAGAAAAAGAAAGGGGCGCCUGGAUGGCUCAGUCAAUUAAGCGUCCAACUUCAGCCCAGGUCACGAUCUCCCAGUUCAUGGGUUUGGGCCCGCAUCAGGCUGUGUGCUGACAGCUCAGAGCCUGGAGCUUAUUUCGUAUUCUGUCUGUCUGUCUGUCUCUUGCUGUCUCUGUCUCUGUCUCUCUGCCCCUCCCUGGCUCUCACUGUCUCUCUCUCAAAAAUAAAUAAAUAUUAAAAAAAUUUAAAAAAAAAGAAUAGAAAAAGAAAAAGCUGAAUGUAAUGGACUACAAUGUUGAUAAUUGUUUUUGAGUUGUGGAUUAUGGGUGAUUUAUAUUAUCUUGUUAAUACUGUGAAUACAAUUCUUCAUCCUGUAUUUACCUUGCUAUUAUAACAUUAGACCAACCUGCUUUAUUAAUGAUUCUUUGCAAACUGUCUUCAUCGUGGCAGUGUAAUAUUCCAGAGUGAGUGUGCUGUCAUUUAUUUAACCAACUACCUACCAAGUGCUGGGAGGACAGGGGCCAUGUCUAGUUUUAUUCACAUCUGUAUCUCCAGCACUUGGACCAUUGUAGGCACUCAAUUUGCUGAAUGAAGGAAUUGUCAACCACUUAGUUUAUUGCUGGAUGUUUGGGUUUUUCAUUUUUAAAGUUUUAGUGAAAGUAUUUGCCCACAAAUCUCUCUCAUCUCUCUGCUUUUCCCUUACUCCAUGUCAGUUUCUUCUAGGUUCUUCUCUAGCAUCUCUGGUUUGGCCAAAAGUCAAUAAGUAUCAUCAACCAUAACGGCAAGUCUGCCAGCUGCUUCGGCUACAGGUUAAAUGAAGCCAGACCUGGACCCCUGAAAGAUGAAAAUCCAAUAAUCACCAUACUACUUACCAUAGCUUCCUAAUUUCUUCUUGCUUUGUAAAUCUAGGGGAAAACAUGAAAAUAUGAAUAUGAAUGAUUAGUAAGAAAAGCAUUUUGGUUAUGUGUAUUAACAG